GAUGAAGAACGUAGCGAAAUGCGAUACUUGGUGUGAAUUGCAGAAUCCCGUGAACCAUCGAGUCUUUGAACGCAAGUUGCGCCCGAAGCCAUUAGGCCGAGGGCACGCCUGCCUGGGCGUCACACGUCGUUGCCCCCCCAUCUACUCCUUCGGGAUUGUGGGGGGCGGAUGAUGGCCUCCCGUGCGCCUCGCCGCGCGGUUGGCAUAAAUGCCAAGUCCUCGGCGACGCACGCCACGACAAUCGGUGGUUGCGAAACCUCGGUUGCCCGUCGUGUGCGGUCGUCGCGCAUCGAGGGCUCGAAAAAAUUGCCGGGUUCCGGCUCGGCUUUCAACGCGACCCCAGGUCAGGCGGGGUUACCCGCUGAAUUUAAGCAUAUCAAUAAGCGGAGGA
rnacentral:misc_RNA from 1 species